rnacentral:RNase_P_RNA from 1 species
GACGAUCGGACGAUUGCUGCAUGGCUUGUCCAUGUUGAGGAAAGUCCGGGCUUCACAGAAACACGAUACCGGAUAACGUCCGGCUGGGGCAACCCAAGGGAAAGCGCAACAGAAAAAAUUCCGCCGACGCUUGAUUCAAGCGGGCAAGGUUGAAAUGGUGCGGUAAGAGCGCACCGCUUUUCCGGCAACGGAAAAGGCACGGCAAGCCCUAUCGGAAGCAAGACCAAAUGAGGCUAUUCUUAAAGGGGGCGUUUCUGACCCCGCCAAAGGUAGGUCGCUACAGACAAUCGGCAACGAUUGCCGCAGAAGAAUAAUCGUCGAUUACAGAACCCGGCUUACAGAUUGUCU